UUUGCCUGCUAGCAUCCUGCCUCUUGGUCUCUCCAGUGUGGUCUCUGCUAGCUGCAAUGUGGAGACACAGUGCUCUCGAGUUCUGUGAGAUAGUCUAACAAGUGCUUGAACCUGAAGGCGUUAUGGGAACUUCUGAACAGAGUCUGCUGCUGUCACUGGAUAGCUCCUGCUGCGUUUGCUUCAAAGGCCACCUAGUGGGGCCACGUGGGGCAUGAGCUCCCAUCCUGACAUUUCUGAGUCUCGGUCUCCCUUGGCUCAGCUGCGCGUGGAGCACCUGUUCUUCAUGUCCCUUCAUCUUCUGGGUCUCAGUUCUCUCACUUUUCCUCGGAUAGGGUUGGGUGGAUAGACCCCCAAGGUGUCUCUAGUCCUUUAUGGUGACCCUGGGCUGCCUCUCUUCAUGAAUGUGGAGAAAGACACAUGGUUUUCCUUCUUGGAACUAUGUUGACUCCAUUUUCAGAGGCACAGAGACCCUGAGCCACAGAGAAGCCCAGCAAGGAUCUAAGGCAUGGGAACUUGAAAGCACUGCUUGGCAGGUGAGGAGGAGGAGCUGGAAAAAAUCCCUCCGGGAAAAGGGGUAGACAGAAGAUCUCCCUGCAGCGUCUAUGGGGUCGCAUGCACCCACAUGGCUCCCGACACACCCCAAGCCAAGGACCCACGCCGUCCCCGGAGGUAGCGUUCUCCUGUCUGAAAGGCUCAGCCUCACUGCAGAGCUUCCUCUUCCCUGGGUGGAUUUUAAGGCCUUUUAUCUUCUCUCUCCCUGUUAUGUUCCCUCCCCUUUUCUAGGAAGCUCAGUAAGCACAUUUUCUAGCUUCCCAUUAGUUGGAUUUGAGUUUCAUCUGUCACCGGUGUGCAGGUGCUCAGGGCUGGCAGGGGUUACAGGUCACCCAGCCAGACUUUGGCUGGCCCCCAUAUGGCCUCUGCAGUGACCUCUGGAAUUUCCCUGUCCACCUUGCCUCACCUCCCUGC